rnacentral:rRNA from 1 species
UGGGGAAUUUUGGACAAUGGGCGAAAGCCUGAUCCAGCAAUGCCGCGUGUGUGAAGAAGGCCUUCGGGUUGUAAAGCACUUUUGUCCGGAAAGAAAUCCUUGGCUCUAAUACAGUCGGGGGAUGACGGUACCGGAAGAAUAAGCACCGGCUAACUACGUGCCAGCAGCCGCGGUAAUACGUAGGGUGCAAGCGUUAAUCGGAAUUACUGGGCGUAAAGCGUGCGCAGGCGGUUUGCUAAGACCGAUGUGAAAUCCCCGGGCUCAACCUGGGAACUGCAUUGGUGACUGGCAGGCUAGAGUAUGGCAGAGGGGGGUAGAAUUCCACGUGUAGCAGUGAAAUGCGUAGAGAUGUGGAGGAAUACCGAUGGCGAAGGCAGCCCCCUGGGCCAAUACUGACGCUCAUGCACGAAAGCGUGGGGGAGCAAACAGGAUUAGAUACCCUGGUAGUCCACGCCCUAAACGAUGUCAACUAGUUGUUGGGGAUUCAUUUCCUUAGUAACGUAGCUAACGCGUGAAGUUGACCGCCUGGGGAGUACGGUCGCAAGAUUAAAACUCAAAGGAAUUGAC